rnacentral:misc_RNA from 1 species
GAAAUGCGAUAAGUAAUGUGAAUUGCAGAAUUCAGUGAAUCAUCGAAUCAUUGAACGCACAUUGCGCCCGCCAGUAUUCUGGCGGGCAUGCCUGUUCGAGCGUCAUUACAACCCUCAGGCCCCCGGGCCUGGCGUUGGGGAUCGGCGGAAGCCCCCUGCGGGCACAACGCCGUCCCCCAAAUACAGUGGCGGUCCCGCCGCAGCUUCCAUUGCGUAGUAGCUAACACCUCGCAACUGGAGAGCGGCGCGGCCACGCCGUAAAACACCCAACUUCUGAAUGUUGACCUCGAAUCAGGUAGGAAUACCCGCUGAACUUAAGC